CUGCCUCCAUUUAGCCAUCAAGAAGAAGCAAGAGGGAUGGCAUGUGCUCUGCCUGUGUCUAGAAGAUGCCGACUCUACUUGCACCCUAUUGACAGUCAUCGUCGUGGGUUGUCAGUAACUGAAAGAGGGUGGCCCAGCAGGGAUUCCCUUAUGACUGGAGUCAGAGUUUGCACAGACUCCUAAGAGG
rnacentral:lncRNA from 1 species